UGAUUUUGGUUGAUGCAUUGUUGCUGCUUUUGUGUUAUAUUUGUGCUAAGAAUUAAUUAUAUAAGGUUUUUCUAGAGUAUCAAGACUAGCCAUCAGCUUUUACCAUUAACUUGGAUGCAGAAACCAUUCCUUCGGAUAUUUCUUUCUUGGUGAUACUUGUUGGUAGAAUUAUCUUGUCUUCUUCCUAUGGUUAAUCUAGUUGGUUACUUCGAUUUGAACCUUAAUUAAGAGGUGAAAAGCUAUACAGAUUUAAAUUCAAUAUUGGCUUAGCUCACUUUUUUUUUUCAACAAGACCUAGCCUUGUUCUUGUUAUAUUUGCCUGCUAAUAUCAUCUCCAUUAGUGGCUAUCAAAUUAAGUUAUAGAAAAUCCAGGACCAGCCUGAUCUUCAAUAGAAAGCUUAGGUUUCUGGUUGGGCUGCUUUCGUUGGUUGAUAUGAGGCCAGUUCUAUUUCAAGUCCCUGUUGAAAAUUUCCAUCCUCACUUAAAAGUUGGAGUGCUUUUGCAGUUCCAUAUGUUGGGUUCUGGUUGUUGUAAUAUUCUCUUCUGUGACUGCAAUGCAUCGUUCUUUGAAGUCUUCCUUCACUCCUUUGCAUUUGGAGCAGGAUGGUAGGCUUGAAUUGUUAUACAUUUUUGUGAACUAUAAAAGCAUGCCAUUCAAUUUAUACCAGUGAUAGCUGGUAUAUCUCUGUUAAGAUAAACUACGAUUCUUGAUGCUGUUUCUCCAUGUUCCGCGUGUAAAUUCUUGAUUCUUCUAAUGAUCUUCUCCAUGUUCUGUGCAAAGUCAUUGCCGCAUCUCUUACAGGAACUAGGAGGAUAAAAGUUCUACUGCGCAUCAAAUACAUUGAUCAAUAUUUAUCCUCAUUUGUUACCGUUUACUCAUGCUAUUGCUAUGGCAUUCAAGUAUUCAACCUGAAUACGAAGCCUGUGCAUCAUCAGGUAACUAAAGAGACUGAUCAAAGUAACAUGUCUGAGUAACAUCAGCAGAUCAGCCCAACAACCCAUGUCAGGUUCGUUCAAUUGAUAUAUCUUCAGGUGAUUCGGAUGGUACAUUUGUACUCAUCUCCUUUAGUACUAGCUCGCUUAUAGCAUGUACAGUUAUCUUGCAAGCAAGAACAGGUUCCAUGUGUCAAAUUCUCUUCUUUUUUUUUCUCCCAAAAAAAUUAGUGCCAGAUUCUUUCAGUUG
rnacentral:lncRNA from 1 species